rnacentral:misc_RNA from 1 species
AAGUCGUAACAAGGUUUCCGUAGGUGAACCUGCGGAAGGAUCAUUAUCGAGUUUUUUGAACGGGUUGUCGCUGGCCUUUCACGAGGCAUGUGCACGCCUGGCUCAUCCACUCUCAACCUCUGUGCACCCUAUGUAAGAAUCGGUGGACGUGCUGGCUCUUUGAGUCGGUAAGAAAGCCUUUUCUUAUGUUUUACUACAAACGCUUCAGUUAUAGAAUGUUUACUGUGUAUAACACAAUAUAUACAACUUUCAGCAACGGAUCUCUUGGCUCUC